UUUCUUUGGGUGAUAAGUUCAUCGUUUCUAUGGUACAUUUCAGUACUUCUAUAGAUAGAUUUUAAAUAGAGGUUUCUGAGUGUGAAUUGUCUGUUGGACAGAAAUGGGUACAACUGGCCCGUGUUGGUUCAUUUCAGUUUUGUUUUGGUUUGGUGACUUGUUUUGUUUCGGACUGAAGUGAUACAACUUCGACAAUUCUAAGUCUUUUUGGCAAUUUUAAAACCAUGAUUGGGAAUUGUACAAAUGUGCCAUGGCAUCUAGCACGUUAUAUGAAUCUUAACCAAAAGAAGAAAAAAAAAAUCCUGUCUUUCUAACCGAGCAAUGUGGGAGCUUGUAAGAGUCAAGCAGUGUGAUACAAGACAUUCCUGGAUGGCAUGGACGGCUAACGAGCUUUAAUACAAAUUCAUGUGUGAUAAAUCAUGCAUAGACUGCACUUUUCUAGUAAAAUAUGUGGAAUUUAUCAACUUUUUUGAGACAUUCAUGUGUAACUUUGUCCGGUGGACAGAUCUCAGAGAUUUAGAUCUACGAACCAGUUUGUUUACCUUAAGACAGAUUAGAGCUGCCACAGGCAACUUUCACAUUUCAAACAAGCUUGGGGAAGGUGGUUUUGGUUCUGUUUACAAGGGUCUAUUAUCAGACAGUACUUCAAUUGCAGUGAAACAGCUUUCAUCCAAAUCAAAGCAAGCCGUGAAUUUGUGACUGAAAUAGGCAUGAUAUCUACUUUGCAACACCCAAAUCUUGUAAAACCUUAUGGAUGUUGUAUCGAGGAAGAUCAACUAUUGCUAGUUUAUGAGUACAUGGAAAAUAAUAGCCUUGCUCGUGCUCUGUUUGGCCCAGAAGAAUAUCAAUUGCAGGCUUGCAGCUUGAUUGGCCAACAAGGCACAAGAUUUGUGUUGGUACAGCUAGAUGUCUAGCUUAUCUCCAUGAAGAAUCGACACUGAAAAUUGUUCAUAGAGACAUCAAAGCCACCAAUGUACUGCUCGAUCGGGAUCUUAUACCAAAGAUAUCUGACUUUGGUCUGGCAAGGCUUGGUGAAGAGGAGAAGACCCACAUCAGCACUCGUAUAGCAGGAACCAUGUGAGUCAUCAUGCACAAUUUUCCUCGU